rnacentral:lncRNA from 1 species
UUUGAGUAAUACCUGGAGUUGCAUCCCCGGCUGCCACGAUAUCUUGAACGGUCAUGUUGAAGACGCUUGCAGUUGAUUCUAUUGAUUUAUUUGUUGAUGUCGGUCCCGAUGUCGCCAAUGCCCUGCUGCCUUUUCGCAUUUUCGCAUUCCUUGUCUCCAUUUCUUUUCUUGGACCGUCUUUCACCUUAUGCUCCAUUGAUUCGCACAUAACACAUUUAUUAUACCUUCUUGGAUUGGGACAUUUAGGAAAGAUAUAUAUCCCUCCUGUCUUUACUUUCUAUACACAAACUUUUCCUUUUAAUCACAUUCCCGGCUUAUCUCCGGUAUUAUUAAGAUUAUUUUCUUUUAUCACAUAGGUGACAAAAGUUGUCUUUUGCCCCUUCAUUAUCCUAGCUAUAACAUAUGCUUCUACCGGGUCAGUUGAUAUUCUAAAUCCUGGCAAUAGGACCACUUUGAAGUCUUUAACGUUCGACGUUCGAUUAUCUGGUUGAUUUUUCGCGGCUGGUAAUCCGUUCUGCAUAGCUUGAUCGUCCACAUUCGCAAAAAUUCUGUGUCGGGUCUGGUUGUCCUCCAGCUUUGUUGACAGGUCCUGCUAUCCUUUGGUUUCGUUUUCGUCUUGACGACAAUAUCGCAAAUUAUUCUUACAUUCUAGCCUUAUCGUAAACGCUUAACAUAUAACGCAAAAUUUUCUAUUCACUCAAUCAUGUACUCAAAAUAUUAGAUUUUGAAAACUCGGUUUGCUGUAUAACCAAUAUUCAGAUAAAUAUCUAUUAUCUUUAUACCCACUUAAUUCAUUAAUCCAACAUAAAUCCAUAUUCAUAACACUUGACACACC